GACGGAGCGAAGCGACGUCAAAGCGUAUACAAAGUCGAGUCGGUUUAAGGAUACGUUCGUUGGGUAGGGGAGCGUUCUGUAAGCCUGUGAAGGUGGCCUGUGAGGGUUGCUGGAGGUAUCAGAAGUGCGAAUGCUGACAUAAGUAACGAUAAAGCGGGUGAAAAGCCCGCUCGCCGGAAGACCAAGGGUUCCUGUCCAACGUUAAUCGGGGCAGGGUGAGUCGACCCCUAAGGCGAGGCCGAAAGGCGUAGUCGAUGGGAAACGGGUUAAUAUUCCCGUACUUGGUGUUACUGCGAAGGGGGGACGGAGAAGGCUAUGUUGGCCGGGCGACGGUUGUCCCGGUUUAAGCGUGUAGGUGUGUGUUCCAGGUAAAUCCGGUUCACUUUAACACUGAGGCGUGACGACGAGGCACUACGGUGCUGAAGCAACAAAUGCCCUGCUUCCAGGAAAAGCCUCUAAGCAUCAGGUAACAUCAAAUCGUACCCCAAACCGACACAGGUGGUCAGGUAGAGAAUACCAAGGCGCUUGAGAGAACUCGGGUGAAGGAACUAGGCAAAAUGGUGCCGUAACUUCGGGAGAAGGCACGCUGACACGUAGGUGAAGUGAUUUACUCAUGGAGCUGAAGUCAGUCGAAGAUACCAGCUGGCUGCAACUGUUUAUUAAAAACACAGCACUGUGCAAACACGAAAGUGGACGUAUACGGUGUGACGCCUGCCCGGUGCCGGAAGGUUAAUUGAUGGGGUCAGCGCAAGCGAAGCUCCUGAUCGAAGCCCCGGUAAACGGCGGCCGUAACUAUAACGGUCCUAAGGUAGCGAAAUUCCUUGUCGGGUAAGUUCCGACCUGCACGAAUGGCGUAAUGAUGGCCAGGCUGUCUCCACCCGAGACUCAGUGAAAUUGAACUCGCUGUGAAGAUGCAGUGUACCCGCGGCAAGACGGAAAGACCCCGUGAACCUUUACUAUAGCUUGACACUGAACAUUGAGCCUUGAUGUGUAG
rnacentral:rRNA from 1 species